rnacentral:sRNA from 12 species
UAGUAUUGAGCGGUAAGUCCGUUGUAGGUUCCUCCAGUGUUUCCAUCCAUAGGUUGGCCAAGCUGGAGGGGUCCAAGCUUGCACGGCGCGCUCUUUUG